GACAGAGGUGCCAAGCGUUAGGCGGAAUCACUGGGCUUAAAGCGUGUGUAGGCGGCUGCCUAAGUCCCUUGUGAAAUCCCACGGCUCAACCGUGGAACUGCUUGGUAUACUGGGUGUCUUGAGCCAUCUAGGGGCUACCGGAACAAAUGGUGGAGCGGUGAAAUGCGUAGAUAUCAUGUGGAACGCCAAUGGUGAAAACAGGUAGCUGGGGAUGUGCUGACGCUGAGACACGAAAGCCAGGGGAGCAAACGGG
rnacentral:rRNA from 1 species